UCCCUGGUGGUUCAGCUGGUAAAGAAUCUGCCUGCAAUGCAGGAGACCCGGGUUUGAUCCCUGGACUGGGAA
rfam:TPA: Bos taurus chromosome 23, whole genome shotgun sequence.